rnacentral:misc_RNA from 1 species
GAUGAAGAACGCAGCAAAAUGCGAUAAGUAAUGUGAAUUGCAGAAUUCAGUGAAUCAUCGAAUCUUUGAACGCACAUUGCGCCCGCCAGUAUUCUGGCGGGCAUGCCUGUUCGAGCGUCAUUUCAACCCUCAAGCACAGCUUGGUGUUGGGACUCGCGUUAAUUCGCGUUCCUCAAAUUGAUUGGCGGUCACGUCGAGCUUCCAUAGCGUAGUAGUAAAACCCUCGUUACUGGUAAUCGUCGCGGCCACGCCGUUAAACCCCAACUUCUGAAUGUUGACCUCGGAUCAGGUAGGAAUACCCGCUGAACUUAAGCAUAUCAAUAGCGGAGGA